GAUUUUCGCAAUGCCCGAAAGGGUGACGAAGCGACGCCGCGUGCGGGAAGAAGGCCUUCGGGUUGUAAACCGCUGUCGGGAGUUAAGAAAUGUAAGGAUGUUAAUAGCAUCUUUGCUUGACUAAGGCUCCGGAGGAAGCCACGGCUAACUCUGUGCCAGCAGCCGCGGUAAUACAGAGGCGGCAAGCGUUGUUCGGAAUUAUUGGGCGUAAAGAGCACGUAGGCGGCUAUGUAAGUCGGUUGUGAAAGCCUUCCGCUCAACGGGAGAACAGCAUCCGAUACUGCAUGGCUUGAGUGCGGGAGGGGAGAGUGGAACUUCUGGUGGAGCGGUGAAAUGCGUAGAUAUCAGAAGGAACGCCGGCGGCGAAAGCGGCUCUCUGGCCCAUAACUGACGCUGAGUGUGUGAAAGCUAGGGGAGCAAACGGGAUUAGAUACCCCGGUAGUCCUAGCCGUAAACGAUGGGCACUAAGUAGAGGGGUUUUAAUC
rnacentral:rRNA from 1 species